GGCCGAGGAAGCUCAUCAGCGGGCCACGUGCUGAGUGCUGGUCACUCCCAGGCCCUGGGUAAGGACUGAGACUGGCACCUCCCGUGGCCAUAACUGUGCCCUCCAGGAGUGGAGAGGUAAGUUCCCUGAGAGCAGGGCUCCAUGUGUGGGCAGGCUUGGCAGGAGAGGCCCCGAGUGGGCAGAUGCUUCUCUGGCUGGAGCUUGGAACAGACUCAUGGCCAGAGCAGAAUGAGUUCAAUGGGUGAGGUGAGGUACCUCGAAGACCUCAUAACCCAAUUCAGACUACUCUCCCCUAACC
ensembl:ribozyme RNaseP_nuc Nuclear RNase P